AUUGAACGCUAGCGGCAGGCUUAACACAUGCAAGUCGAGCGGGGUGAUGGUGCUUGCACUAUCACUUAGCGGCGGACGGGUGAGUAAUGCCUAGGAAUCUGCCUAUUAGUGGGGGGCAACAUCUCGAAAGGGAUGCUAAUACCGCAUACGUCCUACGGGAGAAAGCAGGGGAUCACUUGUGACCUUGCGCUAAUAGAUGAGCCUAAGUCGGAUUAGCUAGUUGGUGGGGUAAAGGCCUACCAAGGCGACGAUCUGUAGCGGGUCUGAGAGGAUGAUCCGCACAACUGGGGCUGGGACACGGCCCACACUCCUACGGGAGGCAGCAGUGGGGAAUAUUGGACAAUGGGGGGAACCCUGAUCCAGCCAUGCCGCGUGUGUGAAGAAGGCCUUAUGGUUGUAAAGCACUUUAAGCGAGGAGGAGGCUCUUUUGGUUAAUACCCAAGAUGAGUGGACGUUACUCGCAGAAUAAGCACCGGCUAACUCUGUGCCAGCAGCCGCCGUAACAC
rnacentral:rRNA from 1 species